rnacentral:rRNA from 1 species
GAUGAACGCUGGCGGCGUGCCUAAUACAUGCAAGUCGAGCGAACGGACGAGAAGCUUGCUUCUCUGAUGUUAGCGGCGGACGGGUGAGUAACACGUGGAUAACCUACCUAUAAGACUGGGAUAACUUCGGGAAACCGGAGCUAAUACCGGAUAAUAUUUUGAACCGCAUGGUUCAAAAGUGAAAGACGGCUUUGCUGUCACUUAUAGAUGGAUCCGCGCUGCAUUAGCUAGUUGGUAAGGUAACGGCUUACCAAGGCAACGAUGCAUAGCCGACCUGAGAGGGUGAUCGGCCACACUGGAACUGAGACACGGUCCAGACUCCUACGGGAGGCAGCAGUAGGGAAUCUUCCGCAAUGGGCGAAAGCCUGACGGAGCAACGCCGCGUGAGUGAUGAAGGUCUUCGGAUCGUAAAACUCUGUUAUUAGGGAAGAACAUAUGUGUAAGUAACUAUGCACGUCUUGACGGUACCUAAUCAGAAAGCCACGGCUAACUACGUG